rnacentral:rRNA from 1 species
CGUCCACACCAUGAGAGUCAGCAACACCCGAAGCCUGUGAGCUAACGCAAGAGGCAGCAGUCGAAGGUGGGGUUGGUGAUUGGGGUGAAGUCGUAACAAGGUAUC